AUGAAAUAUGCGCAGUUGAGAAGCAUCGCCAAGGAGCUCGGGCUGAAAGCCAACGAGAAGGCCGAGAAACUCCUGAAAGCGAUCAAGCAGCAUUAUCAACAAGAACAGGACAAAGAGGAGGAAGGGCAGGUACAAGAGAAGGAUGUUACUGCUGCUAAAGAAGAUGAGACUGACCGUGGUGAUGAACAUGAAGACGCAUCUCGUGAGGAAGAGGUUCCCAGCUCCGCUGUGUUUGCUAACACACGUCGGAGUAACAGAACCAGUACCAAGAGAAAGCUCCCUGGUGCUGUAACAGCCGACUCAGUGUGA
rnacentral:lncRNA from 1 species